UACGUAGGGUCCGAGCGUUGUCCGGAAUUAUUGGGCGUAAAGGGCUCGUAGGCGGUCUGUUGCGUCGGGAGUGAAAACUUACAGCUUAACUGUGAGCGUGCUUUCGAUACGGGCAGACUAGAGUGCGGUAGGGGAGACUGGAAUUCCUGGUGUAGCGGUGAAAUGCGCAGAUAUCAGGAGGAACACCGGUGGCGAAGGCGGGUCUCUGGGCCGUAACUGACGCUGAGGAGCGAAAGCGUGGGGAGCGAACAGG
rnacentral:rRNA from 1 species